rnacentral:rRNA from 1 species
AUUGAACGCUGGCGGAAUGCUUUACACAUGCAAGUCGAACGGCAGCACGGACUUCGGUCUGGUGGCGAGUGGCGAACGGGUGAGUAAUACAUCGGAACGUGCCCGGACGUGGGGGAUAACUACUCGAAAGAGUGGCUAAUACCGCAUACGAUCCAAGGAUGAAAGCGGGGGAUCGCAAGACCUCGCGCGUUUGGAGCGGCCGAUGGCAGAUUAGGUAGUUGGUGAGGUAAAGGCUUACCAAGCCUGCGAUCCGUAGCUGGUCUGAGAGGAUGAUCAGCCACACUGGGACUGAGACACGGCCCAGACUCCUACGGGAGGCAGCAGUGGGGAAUUUUGGACAAUGGGCGAAAGCCUGAUCCAGCCAUUCCGCGUGCAGGAUGAAGGCCCUCGGGUUGUAAACUGCUUUUGUACGGAACGAAAAGGCUCUUGCUAAUACCAGGAGUCCAUGACGGUACCGUAAGAAUAAGCACCGGCUAACUACGUGCCAGCAGCCGCGGUAAU